AGCUAAUAGAUACCCGGGUAGUCCUGGCCGUAAACGAUGUCGACUAGAUCGCAGUUCCUUUGACGGAAAUUGUGGUCGAAAGCAAAAAAAGUGCUAAGUCGACCGCCUGGGAAGUACGGUCGCAAGGCUAAAAACUCAAAGAAAUUGACGGGGGCUCACACAAGCGGUGGAGCAUGUGGUUCAAUUCGAAGCAACGCGCAGAACCUUACCUGGGCUUGACAUGCUAGGAUUAUCUCGGUGAAAGUCGAGUAGGCCCCGCAAGGGGUACAACUAGUACAGGUGCUGCAUGGCUGUCGUCAGCUCGUGUCGUGAGAUGUCGGGUUUAAGUCCCUUAACGAGCGAAACCUUUGCCCUUAGUUACCAGCGGGUUAUGCCGGGGACUCUAAGGGGACUGCCGGUGUCAAACCGGAGGAAGGUGGAGAUGACGUCAAGUCCUCAUGGCCUUUAUGCCCAGGGCCACACACGUGCUACAAUGGGAUGCACAAAGCGAACCAAGACCGCAAGGUGGUGGAAAUCGCAGAAAUCAUCCCCA
rnacentral:rRNA from 1 species